rnacentral:ncRNA from 1 species
AUUAAUUAGGUUUGUGGUUGAAAGUCGAUGCUAGUCGCAGGCAAAACGAUCCACGUAAGUUAGAAAAAGUUCUAAUGAGCAUGGUGCGGUAUAGAAGUAAGACCUGCCGGGGACAAGAUCUUCGAGAGAGGGAAUAGUGAGAGGCAUACCACCUUAGGCAAAACCUCCAGCAGGCGGGUGUGGGGUCAAAAACCAGGUCAACUAAUUAAU